CAGCGUGCAAAUUAAAGUUACACCCCACAGCAUACAACGUAUCGAAACAUGGCUUAAUACACAUAUACACCAGAAGAAGGAUCAACCGAGAGGUGUACCUGGUUUCGAGCAGAUUGCGGCUCUGCUUUGGCAUAUUUGGAAAGCCCGUAACCUCUUUGUCUUUCGGCAUCAGCGAACACACCCGGAUCACCUGGUUCAAGCAUCAGUUAAUAUGGUCCAGGCAGGCAGUCGAACCCCACAAAUUGACAUACCGAC
rnacentral:lncRNA from 1 species